AAUCAGUUAGAUUUCACUGAUUCAAAUGUAGAGUGUUUAUCUUUCUUGGAAGCACGACGCAUAUAUUUAUAUUACAAAAAAUGGAAUUGUCUUUAAAUAAUUUUCCCAAAAAAAAGACUUCUGUUUAUUUUCUUCUCUCCAUUUGUUUCUCGUUUUUGAAAUCCAUUGACAACUUAUGAAUUCAGCAUGAAAAUUGAAAAGAACUGAAAACAUUAAUUUUCCCGGUAAAGAAAAAAAUGAUAAUUUGCAAUUUUGAAAUUAUUUUUUGACGGGCUCAAAAAUACCUUAUAAAAUGACGCUACUGCGAAAAACCGCCCCUCUUCCUUCUCACCAUCCCCUGUAUCACCUCCCCGCCUCCUACUAUGAAGCGUUCCCCACCGUUAACGCUUCUUAUAACUACUUCUCUCUCGCUCUCACACUUGCGCGCGCGCUCUUGUUUGUUCUCUUUUCUGUUCUUAAACGUCGACAGAACAACUUAGGGCCGCGAACCUUUCGCUCCACGCUGUUAUUCCGGUAUUUUCAAAUAUCAUUAAUUAAACGCCGCGAACGUUUAAUUCGUGUUCAAUCAUUGUUGUUAUUGUUAUUGUUUCUCUCGCCAAUAAAAAAGAGACAAAGUGUUGUUACUCCAAAAAAAUAAAAAAAAAAAAAAAAAAAAAAAAAAAGAGUUGGCAGUGAGUGUGCGCCUUUUAUUUUUUUUGUUUUUUGCGUCGUGAGUCAAUUUUUUGUUUGUUAUUGUUGUUAACAUUUCUCCUUCUUUCACAAUAAAAAGAAGCAUCAGGAAAAACAAGGAAAAUAAAUGACGCGCCGUGGCUGUGCCGGUGUUUUAUUUAGUGGAUUCUUAAUGAAAAUUUCUCCUCUAUGGAACUCUGGAACGACGCCGGUAUUAUUUCAUUAGAGUGGAGACUGCAACCACGCCGAAAAUAUAUAGUAGAUAGAUAGUGAGAGAUAGAGAAAGAAGGAAGGAGAGUGAAAAAGAGUGUGUGAAAAACCCUCGUGCGUGAGUGAGCGUCAUCCAACAAUAAAAAAAAAGAAAAAAAAAAUAAUAAUCGAGAGGAAAAAAAACGAAAAAGCAGUGGUUCUUUUAUUGGCGAAAAAAUUUUAUAAACUUUUAUAGCAGGCGUGUGUAUCGAUGAGCCUCUCCUCUCGUCUCCACUUUGUUCUGCAUUGUGGUAUGGGUCCAAUGCCAGAAGAACUAUAGCUUUCAUCGUGAAGAUUUAGAGAGAAUUUUUUUUUUUUUAUAAAAAUGAGUAAUAAUUUUCGUAAUAAUAAUUUGAUGUUUUGAUGUGUUCAAUAUUUAUGUGAAAAAUAUAAUAUAAUUUGU